UGGGGAAUAUUGCGCAAUGGGGGGAACCCUGACGCAGCCAUGCCGCGUGAAUGAAGAAGGCCUUAGGGUUGUAAAGUUCUUUCGGUAUUGAGGAAGGUUGAUGUGUUAAUAGCACAUCAAAUUGACGUUAAAUACAGAAGAAGCACCGGCUAACUCCGUGCCAGCAGCCGCGGUAAUACGGAGGGUGCGAGCGUUAAUCGGAAUAACUGGGCGUAAAGGGCACGCAGGCGGUUAUUUAAGUGAGGUGUGAAAGCCCCGGGCUUAACCUGGGAAUUGCAUUUCAGACUGGGUAACUAGAGUACUUUAGGGAGGGGUAGAAUUCCACGUGUAGCGGUGAAAUGCGUAGAGAUGUGGAGGAAUACCGAAGGCGAAGCNNGCCCCUUGGGAAUGUACUGACGCUCAUGUGCGAAAGNNNGGGGGAGCAAACAGGAUUAGAUACCCUGGUAGUCCACGCUGUAAACGCUGUCGAUUUGGGGGUUGGGGUUUAACUCUGGCGCCCGUAGCUAACGUGAUAAAUCGACCGCCUGGGGAGUACGGCCGCAAGUUA
rnacentral:rRNA from 1 species